GUUGCAAUGGGAGAAAAAAAUAACACACACUCUUAACCCAAUAACCAUAAUAUGUUCAUGCCCUUUAUUUUAGCGAGGCAUCAUUUUUGUGUUGCCGCUUAUCCUCCUUCUCACCCUCAGUGGCCUCAGUGUUCACACAAACCAAAGUGUGUUUGAAUGUUGUUUUUCCCCUGCCAGUUUUUUUCAGAGGUGCUCAUGUGUGGUUAUUGAUGUUUU
rnacentral:rRNA from 1 species